rnacentral:lncRNA from 1 species
UUAAAAUUGCCCACCGACCCUUGAGCCUUCCAAAUGCCCUCUCAACAAUAUUCCUAGCUCUAGCAUGGCACAAGUUGAAGUACUCCUCAGCACUAUGUGGUGGGUUUUGAGUAGUGAAACCUCCUAGAUGAUACCUCUGUCCUCGAUAUGGUGCUAAGAAACCAUUUGCAUUUGUGUAACCAGCAUCAACAAGAUAAUAGCAACCUUAACAUGGAAAAAAGAAAGUAUAAGUUUAAUACCAAUAACUAUGCCUAAAUAAUUGUUUUUUCAAUAUGAAGGGACAGAACUCGCCUUGAGGGACACGUAAUCCAUUCGGCCUCGAGAUGGCAUCUCGAAGCACACGCCCGUCAUGUGCAGAACCCUCCCAACCAGGUAAGACAUAUAUAAACUGCAUGUCAGGUGCACAAACACCCAACACAUUUGUCACAAUUUCUCCUUUUCUUGACCUAUAUCUCCCCUUCAACUUAGUUGGGACAGUCACCUUUACAUGUGUGCCAUCCAAUGCACCCAAACAACUCUAUUAUAAUCCAAAUAACAAAUAGUAUUAAUAUUGUUCACCUAUUAGUAUAAUCUAUUCGAUAGAUUUCUAUUAACAAGUUUGAUACCUUGAAGUGAUUCCAUCUAAAGUCUGUGCAGCCCUCAGGUAUAGGUUCUGGUUUCUUAAGGAGCAAUUGGUGAAGCUUCAAUACUGCUAGGAGGCAUGCAUUGAAGUUUCUGCUCACUGUCUCACCACU